UCUUGAAAUUACUUAUAAUUGAAUUGUUUAAUUCAGUCAGUAAGCAGGAACUUCAUACUUCUAUAUUCAAAAAUAUCCAAAAUGGUUUAUAUCACAAACAUGCGAGCAUGUAUAACAAUAACCUCGCAUGUGAUUGGACCAGGACCAGGCGGUCAUGGGCGUGGCUCAUACAGUAUAAACAGGUGUACCGUAGCUUACCAGGUAGUUUUCAUGUGCUCCGGAACUUUCUCUUGGUUUCUGGGAUUUUUGCUGCUUGGUGAUCUUCAAUGGCUGGACGGCGCCUCGCGUUCUACUCUCCGUCGACUCCUGUGUCUGGACGCGAUGGACCUGUGUCGGGAAUUCCGCAGACCGAUGAGAGAAAACUGCUGUCUGCUCUCAGUGGGUUGUCUCGUCAGAUUGCAGAGCUGACUACAUUCGUAACUGACAGAUUCAACUCUAUGGACGACAGAUUCAACACCGUGGAAGACAGAUUGAUUGCUUUGGAGGGACGUAACUUUGGGGAAAACGCAAACUCCAGGAAGAAAAGACGGGUGCAGAGUCCCAUGAUUGCGGUAAGAAUUUGUCCGGUGUCUGCUAGCUAAGCUAAAUAGCCUAAAAGUAAGCAUAGCAGCUAGCCCAAGCUAAAAGUAGCCAGUAGCUAGCUAUGAGGGACAAUUGACUUAAAAACAUUGUUUUGUUCUUUUCACAGGAAACAGUACGCCGUCUUCACAACUCGGAGACAAACACUAGGCGAUACGAGCCGGCGCAAGGACUAACUUCGCCUCAUAACGAAGCCGUGACAAGCUAUUUAGUGCGGGCUUUGUCGACAAAUCCAAAUCUUCAUGAUGCUGACAAAGACAACAUUGUGUCUGCCUGCAAGACGUAUUACGAAACCUUACGCAGGAGCUACAGGUACCAGCAGCCUGAUCUUUCGUUGCAGGCGGAAGCAAUGAAGUAGCCGGCUCGUAGUCGCUCCAGAAGAAAGAGGCUGUUUGACGUGAGACGAGGUGUCCUUGCUAUGGACGAGAUGGAUGUAUGGCAGUGUGCUACCGUAGACCUGAUGUCGGAUGAGGAAAAUGGGGUGGUGGAAGGGGUGUCUGGGUGGAUCGUUAAGCCUCCGCCAUCCCGUAACCCGGAGCUCAGCGAACUCUGUGCUACGCUGCAAUCAAGGCUUGAGGCAGAUCCAAAGUACAGGGCAACCCACCACAGACGACUGCAUGUCGGUCCGAUGCCACCUGCUCCCCACAGCUCAGAGACCGCAAGCAUGCACUUCAUGGAGCUGUAGGACUAAAAUACGGUGCUUAUUUGCUUUUGUUUAGUUUUGUAUCCUGCACAUCUCUCUUGCACUAGAGAAUGUAUAGGCAACUACUGUUUGUCUUUGACUGAAUGCUGCCAUUUUGUUUAUU